GGUGAGUAACACGUGGGUGACCUGCCUUCGAGCGGGGGAUAACGUCCCGAAAGGGACGCUAAUACCGCAUAACAUCCUGUCUUUUAAGAGAUGGAGAUCAAAGCCGGGGAUCGCAAGACCUGGCACUCGAAGAGGGGCCCGCGCCUGAUUAGCUAGUUGGUGAGGUAACGGCUCACCAAGGCAACGAUCAGUAUCCGGCCUGAGAGGGCGGACGGACACACUGGGACUGAGACACGGCCCAGACUCCUACGGGAGGCAGCAGUAGGGAAUUGUUCGCAAUGGGCGCAAGCCUGACGACGCAACGCCGCGUGGAGGAUGAAGACCUUCGGGUCGUAAACUCCUUUCGAUCGAGACGAAUGGCCUCCGGGUGAACAAUCCGGAGGAAUGACGGUACCGAGAGAAGAAGCCCCGGCUAACUCCGUGCCAGCAGCCGCGGUAAUACGGGGGGGGCAAGCGUCGUUCGGAAUUACUGGGCGUAAAGGGCUCGUAGGCGGCCAACUAAGUCAGACGUGAAAUCCCUCGGCUUAACCGGGGAACUGCGUCUGAUACUGGAUGGCUUGAGUGUGGGAGAGGAAUGCGGAAUUCCAGGUGUAGCGGUGAAAUGCGUAGAUAUCUGGAGGAACACCGGUGGCGAAGGCGGCAUUCUGGACCAUUACUGACGCUGAGGAGCGAAAGCCAGGGGAGCAAACGGGAUUAGAUACCCCGGUAGUCCUGGCCCUAAACGAUGAAUGCUUGGUGUGACGGGUAUCGAUCCCUGUCGUGCCGAAGCUAACGCAUUAAGCAUUCCGCCUGGGGAGUACGGUCGCAAGGCUGAAACUCAAAGAAUUGAAC
rnacentral:rRNA from 1 species